GAUGAACGCUGGCGGCGUGCCUAACACAUGCAAGUCGAGCGAUUCUCUUCGGAGAAGAGCGGCGGACGGGUGAGUAACGCGUGGGUAACCUGCCCUGUACACACGGAUAACAUACCGAAAGGUAUGCUAAUACGAGAUAAUAUGCUUUUAUCGCAUGGUAGAAGUAUCAAAGUUUGUGCGGUACAGGAUGGACCCGCGUCGGAUUAGCUAGUUGGUAAGGUAACGGCUUACCAAGGCGACGAUCAGUAGCCGACCUGAGAGGGUUAUGGGGCACAUGGGAGCACAGACACCGUCCAAACUCCUAUGGGAGGCAGCGGCGGAGAUUAUUGAGAAAUGGGCGAAAGACUGAUGCAGCAACGCCGCGUGAGCGAUGAAGGCCUUCGGGUCGUAACGCUCUGUCCUCAAGGAAGAUAAUGACGGUAGUUGAGGAGGAAGCCCAGGCUAAGUACGUGCCAGCCGCCGCUGUAA
rnacentral:rRNA from 1 species